UCUGUGGACUGGACAUGUUCAGACAUCAUUCCAACUGUGACUAGGAUGAUACGUGUGUAAGUAUGUCUCCGCAUAUGUCUCUUCAUUAAAUGUUCUACCCUAGUGUGUAUUUCUACAGGUAACAUUAACGUUGGAAUAGGUAUAACCUUGAUGGUUAGCUAACAUUAGCUAGCUAUCCAGCUCACUAGGUUUAGCUAACCGAAUAGGAUAAAGAAUGUUUAGCUAGCCAAAGACUGUGGUGUUAGCCAAGUAGGAUGAAUAGGGAUAUUUUUCUCAUUAAGAAAUUAGAAUAAUCAACACACGUUGCAAUCACGUUAUAUUAUGAACCGUGAUUGUAAUUUUUUUAAAGAAUUCUGUAAUGGUAGAGCACAGACAUUUAUUUUAAAGGCAGGUUAAAAAUUAUCCUAUGUUGUCCACUAUUUUCUUUUCUUUUCGUUUAUUACUGCCAUUUCGCCCAAAUGUGUGUUAUUAAAUUAUUUAAACAAGUAUAUUGGGCUUCAUAUUAAGGUUAGACACUUUUUAAAUAAAGAGAAAUGUGUGGGGGUUGUCGUGAAAUGUCGAGAGCAUUUUAUUUUGACUGCAUUUAUCUCACUGUUCCGUUAGCUUUACUUCCUGUUAGUGUCGGGACUUUUCGGGGUAAGCCACGUUUCCACUCUGCUCUUUGCACUUUCGUAGAUUUGGUUCAAAUUUAAACUGAAGUUAUUUGAAAUACAUGGAAAGUCAAUGUAUUAUCAUCUGUACAUUAUCUACUUGCAAUUUAAGUUAUUUUGUAUGUCCGUGUGUCGAUGUCUGUGGGUAGGGCUGCCAUGUGGCUAACGUUCUAAGCUAGCAUGUACAGUCAAGAACGUGUGCUAGCAUUUGUGUGUGUCGAUAUAAUGCGUGACCGGAAAAAUGCAAAUGUCAGAAGGAGUAGAGUAAUUAAAACAUGCUUUGGACAAACAUGUCUGCACAAUGGAGACGUAAAGAGAUGUGCAAGCUUGUUGUUCUGGCCGACACAUAGUUGGCUAAACAGAAGGUCAGGCUCAGGCUCUUUUAAGUGAAGGAUGGGAGAGCCGGGCGCUCCAUGCAGUCGCAGAAGUCAAGGCGCUGCCACUCUCCCAACGUUUUCAAUAGCGGCUCUGUUAAGCGUUUUACCCGACGAACGUGUCCCGAGGUCGGCCGCGAAACCGCCAGGUUACCCGCCCAUUACGGAUGAUCUUUCCGCGAUUUUCAACCCGCCCAAAGUGAUCGAAACUUGGACGCCAGACUUGGGAAAACCACGCCAAAUUAUAGAGCGACGCAUAAUCAUCAAUUUGGCUGGAGGGAGUUUUCAAUAGCGCCUCCGUAAACCGCUUUACCCGACGCAAAUGUCCCGAUGUCGGCCGCGAAACCACCAGGGUACCCGCCCGUUAUGGAGGAAUGUUUUUAGAUUUUCAACCCGCCCAAAGUGAUCGAAAUUCGGACCCCAGACUUGGGCAAACCACGCCGAAUCAUGGAGCCACGGAUAAUCUUUAAUUCGACUGGAGGAAGUUUUCCUUAAGCGGGUCCAUAAACCGCUUAACCCGAUGAAAGCGGGUUGCGCAUUCGCCAGGUCAGGACAUUUUUGGAGUAUGAAAGGGGCUUAAGUGACUUAAAAUAGUUAGUCACACAAGUAUGAUGUACAUUAAUUUGAUUUAGUCGUACACUGCCGACGCUAGGUGGCAUAGAAAAGGCAAGGGGAAAACAAAACAUGAGUUUUAGAUUUUUUAUGAAUGUUUUUUUCUUUUCUUUGUAGGACAAUAUGCUGGUCAAGGUGAGAUUUGGUUCAAGUCAGAAGUAUGUUAAGGUGGCAGAAACCGAAGCAGGCUAUGAAGACUACAAUACAUUUAUUGAGAAAGUAAUAGGAAAGUUAGGUCUUCCUCUACAGACAGACUUGCACUUGACAGAUCAAUCAGGGACAGAGGUGGAUGCAGAUGUGUUUGAGGAACUCUUACAAGCAGGGGAUCUUACCGUCAAUGUGUCCACAGAAAAGUCUGGAGUUGUGCUUCAACCAGAUCAAGCAGAAAUUUCUUUUGAGUCGAAUGUGUCAGACACCGUAUCCUCUGUGCCUUCUGAUUCAUCUGAUGCAACAAUAACUCUUGAGAACGAUGGUGGGAGGAAAAGGACCCACGACGAUCGGGAAUCAGCUGAAGCGAUGGUGAGAGAUGUUCUUCAGUCCAAGCCAGGGGGAGAAAAGGUGUUGCAUGAAUAUGACAAAAUGAAGACAUUGACGGAUGGUACCCGGUGACAUAUGAUAAACCUACUGGUGGCUGACAUGAUUGAAGUUCAUGGGAGGAUCCCACCAACCUAUGUGCGAACAAAAUACGCUCUUGGCAUUAUAACUCUAUUUCCUUACCUCGGGGAUCCUUACUCAAAAAAUGGAUAUGAGCACUUCUAUGAUGCUGACAGUGGAUCUGGUUAUUUGGCCUGGAGGAUAAAGACAGUCCAGCGCAACAUUGCAGUUCUAUCUCGGAGAUGCUCAACCACCUGUACCUAUCAAGCUGGACCAAAAAGCAAGAGAGAUUUUCUCCUAACUGACAAUCAACUGUCUGGCGAGGAAUGCCGUGAGGCAAUCUCCAUAUUGAAACAUACAACUGAUGAAUCGGUUGUCAAAGAGAAAAUGAGGGCAACAUUUCAAUACCGUCAGACGGUAGUUCAACAAGACCAGCAAGACUCCUCUACAGUCCUGGAUGUUUUCCCACGUUUUCUCGAUACACCUGGCUUGAUUGACCAAGACUUUGCCAUGAUGUUUGGAGAGGAGGCUUCUGGCAGAUUCUUGGCAAAAUGGCCCACUUUCUUCAAACCCAGGAUCCUGGCAAACUGCAAGAAUUCUAAUGAGAAUGUUGAAGACUUGUUGUCUGGGCAUCACUCCUCAGAUGCGUCUGGCUGGGACAGUGACCUGUCAAGCAUCCUACUGCUGGUUCAC